rnacentral:rRNA from 1 species
UACGAAGGGGGCAAGCGUUGUUCGGAAUUACUGGGCGUAAAGGGCGCGUAGGCGGUGCUCUAAGUCAGGCGUGAAAGCCCUGGGCUCAACCCGGGAAUUGCGCUUGAUACUGGAGCGCUUGAAUCCAGGAGAGGUUGGUGGAAUUCCCAGUGUAGAGGUGAAAUUCGUAGAGAUUGGGAAGAACACCGGUGGCGAAGGCGGCCAACUGGACUGGUAUUGAGGCUGAGGCGCGAAAGCGUGGGGAGCAAACAGG